rnacentral:rRNA from 1 species
AGUGAACGCUGGCGGAAUGCUUUACACAUGCAAGUCGAACGGCAGCACGGGGGCAACCCUGGUGGCGAGUGGCGAACGGGUGAGUAAUACAUCGGAACGUGCCCAGUCGUGGGGGAUAACGUAGCGAAAGUUACGCUAAUACCGCAUACGAUCUACGGAUGAAAGCGGGGGACCGUAAGGCCUCGCGCGAUUGGAGCGGCCGAUGUCAGAUUAGGUAGUUGGUGAGGUAAAGGCUCACCAAGCCGACGAUCUGUAGCCGGUCUGAGAGGACGACCAGCCACACUGGGACUGAGACACGGCCCAGACUCCUACGGGAGGCAGCAGUGGGGAAUUUUGGACAAUGGGCGCAAGCCUGAUCCAGCCAUUCCGCGUGCAGGACGAAGGCCUUCGGGUUGUAAACUGCUUUUGUACGGAACGAAAAGGCUCUGGUUAAUACCUGGGGCUCAUGACGGUACCGUAAGAGUAAGCACCGGCUAACUACGUGCCAGCCGCCGCGGUAA